rnacentral:miRNA from 2 species
UCCGGCAAGUUGUCCUUGGCU